UUGAAACUGAAUAGAAUUCCCUCUAUCUAGAAAAGGCUAAGUGCAAGGUAAUGGGAUUCAGAAUGUCAUAUAGUGACUGGGAGAAAAACUAAAACAUAAAAGGUGUAUCCAAGACCAGCAUUUGCCCCUUUUCCCCUUCACCCAUGUACCCCCAGCUAAAGCAUGUAACUUGAAGAUUCAGUUUCUGUGAAACAGAAACUUAGAAACUCCAUCUUCUGCACUUAAUAAUGUGUGCAACUUCAGAUACAAUCAUAGACUCAUUUAGGUUGGAUAAGAUGUUUAAGAUCAUUAAGUCCAACUGUAAUAUAGUAGCCUUCUUUCACUUGACAGUAAAGUGUUGCCCUCUCACAUGCCUAUGUUAUCACCCAGUCCUUAGGGCAGUUGCUAUCAACAAGGGGAAUUUUGGCUCUAGGAUCAUAUGUUUAAACCCUUUUCCUGGAAGCACUCUGGUAACUGAUCUGUAGAAAAAAACUACCAUGAUCAGUGAUAAGAACAUGUAUCAUUAUACGUAACGGAUACUGUUGUUCUAAGGGGUCUUAGGUCUUCAGGGCCUUUGGAGAAUAUAGGCCUAAUUCAUUCUACAUUACAGUUCCUUCCUAGGAAUACAGAAGAAAUAUUUGGAGAGGUGCAGUCACUCAUUUUCCAUGUUUUUAACAGUCACCAAGAGCCUGUUCCAGCAGUGUAUGGGCAGUUCGCAGUGUCAUCUGACCAUGCUUCCUGCCAUCUGUAUGACUUCUCAUGCCAAGUGGUAGCGCAUGCAGCCAACUGUGCUGGCUCUAGUCUGUGUGAGGAUUCCUGCACUACAAGGGGAGCAGAGCACAGCAAUUUCAGGUGUAGCAUGGCUGUUGCAGUGGGUACAGAAAAAGGCCUAGUGAGAGAAUGGAUUUGUCUGUAACGCCAGGUUAUAAACAAGAGGCUGGUGGACAACUUUCAUUGCUGCCUCAGAACUUCAACCUUACCUGUUUGGAAGACUCUCUUUUCUACAACUUGACAUUUUCUGCUCCAAGUCCUUCAUUAUUACUGACUAAAAUGUCAGUCAUUUCAAUACAUUUUUUUUUUUCAGUCAUCUAUUACAUUUGUGCUGUUUUUACAAAAUAAUGCUGAAAUAUGCUUAUAGUGUUUUUCAGAGAGAGAGUUCAACAGUCUUUAGCAGCAUCCUUUUGUACAAAAAAUGUUGAAUGACUGCUGUGAUCACAUUGCUGAUCACUGAUGAUCAUGACUCAGUUUAGAAUUCAAGUGACAAUCUAGAUGACAAAUAAAAAUGAGUUUGGGAGCCUUAACUCCUAGGCACUAUCAGAUGCCAUGCUAUGACUGGCAAUGAGUUCUGGAUUUAUGUACCUCCCCAAGGAUUUAUAAUCUGCAUGGAUUUAGGACAGAGUUUUGUGCAUUUCAGUUAUUUUCACACUUUGAUUGCAAGUCUAAACAAUAUUCCUUGGGUAGCAACCUAAUUAUAAGAAGAGUUAAUACCCCCAAACCACAGAUUAUGUUAGGGAGAUUUGGAUUACAUAGGAUUCUUUAAAGUAUCAUUUUUCACUUUUCAUUGAACAGGAUGGUAAUCUAGAUUUUUAUGUAAAUAGCUAGCAUUUUCCAUUUUAUACAGAUAAUACAGAAAGGCUACAUAAGACUUCCCUUCUACUCAGUGUGAAUUUCAUUGACCAUCUCAGAAACACUGGAGUACAUUACAUAAUUAGCAUUUUAAUACUUUUUUUAAUGACAGUAAAAAUGAUUUUAAAUAAUGAAUUUUUAAUGCUGUAUCAGUAUCAAAUGACUUACCAUAAUCUUUUUAUUGGUUGCAUUUAUUUUUUCUGUUUCAUCGUCUUGUUUGAGGAUAAAAGAUUACAUGUGGAGUAUAUUUUAAGUGAUUGCCUGAUUACAUUUUAAUGCAUUUCUGGAAAUGUAGAAAUAUUUCAACUGAAUGUUGAAAAUGUUUGAUGGAAAAUGGAAUACAUUAUUAUCAAUUAUAUCUAGUAAAAAUCCCAAAUAUAGUUAAUGCAGCUUUUUCAUCCUAAAAUGAAACUAACUUUAAACAAGCCAUCACCAAUACAGUAUCAUCGUGAUACGUAUCACUUGUAUAACAUGAAACUAGAAAUCAUGGGAACAGUUUUAUUUCACUUGUUAAUUAGUACUGAGAUGUUGAGGACAUGAAGCUGAAGGAGUCUUUCCAAAUUUUAUAUAGUAGAACAGACAUUAAUAAUGUUGUUGAUGUAAAGCAACACUGCUGACAAGUGCCUGAGGAGUAUUGGGUUAGGAUAUGCUGUAGUACUGAGUCUAGAAUAUCUUUCCAACUCAAAACCUACUUAGUUAAGUGCACACAGGAUACUGACUGUUGCUACAAUAUUAAAGGAAGUGCUUACAGAUAUAUUUGAAUUUUGAAAAAAUCCUGUUCAGAGUUUCAGGGUAGUAUGUCAUACAUGUCUCAGUGCAUCAACUGACUGAAAUGGAAGAUCAGUCCCAAAGGGCAAAAAGUAAUGAAAAAUAAUAGCACAUCAUCUUGUCUCCCUUGGGUAGAGUUCAGCAGUCACAAUUCAAUCAAAAAAACUGGAUAAAACUGUCAAUAUUCAGGAAUGUUUUAAUGAAGAAAAAAAGGAAAAUCAAUGUCUGCCAUCAGAUCCUCUGGAUAACUUCCAAUGACUUGUAUGGGCCACCUGGGUGUAGAGGAUAAAAGCUGAUGCUGAAGUGCCAGUGGAGGCUGUGUAUCCAAGUAAGUAGAAAGUGUCCUGUGUAGCAUUCAAACGGCAAGAUAAAGCCACAUGGUUUUGUACUUAACUCUGUCCCGCUGACAGCUUUUCCUUGAGAAGUGAUCCCUGAGAUUUUUGUUCUACAGUGUCAGUCUGCUGACCUGCCCAAAAACAUUCCUCAGAUUAGAUUUUUCAGUUUAUUCAGCACAUUUUCUCCAGUGCAUAUCACAGAUGAAGUCUGUCCUAUAGAUUUUAGGGAACCAAAAUAUGAAAUAUGCAUACUUCAGCCUUUUUUUUAGGAACACUGUACUUUUUAAAAAUAAGAAAUCACUGUGUAAAAAUAUAAUCAAGCAAAAAGCUAAAUAUCCUAAAUUAAAUAUUACAUUUUAGGGUUUAAUCUAGAACCUUACAAUUAUGGUUCUUAUAGAUUCCGCUCAGAUUUGGAUCACUGCUGAAGUCCAUCAUAAGCAGGUAUAUUUAACUUCUAUCAUCCUUUGGUUCCCAACAUAAAAAGUCCUAAAGAACUAUUUUGGAGAAAGUUGAUUUUCAGUUCUGCAUCAGGCCCCUCUAGAAGGAAGGCCUCAUGCUGGGAAUGCAAAUAGAGGCACCCAAAAUUAGGAAGUGUUUUUGGAAAUUUGAAUUCAAACGUUUACCUCUACAAAACCCAGACUUUAGAUGAUUUCUGACAGAAGCUGACUGCUUCCUGGGAA